CUGUAGGCCCGGCAUUCUCAGGGUGGGCAAGCAGGUCUACCGCCAGACUCCUGCCACCCUUCCAGCUCUGAAAUCGGGCAACUUAUUGAGUCUGCGGAGACGUUACAGACCAUAGUGAUGUGUCAGAGAUGCUGUUCCCAUGGCAGACGGAGAGGGGGCUAUUCUAAAGUGGGGUCUUUCCUCUGGAAAGUUCCGCUUCUGCCGAUCUUCCCAGGGCUGCAGUUGAGUGGUCCCCAGAUGUGGGGCACGUCAGGCUCUCUGCCUCAGGGAUGGAGAGGACAAUUGCAUGCAAUGAUCAUUCGGAUUGUUCCAGCCCUUAGCUUUUAUUCUCUGAGGGUUAGCAGCUGUGGAGUGUGACCCAGGCUCAUUUCACAAAUGGCGGUAAUCAGGGCCCAGAGGCGCUGCAGCCCGGAGAGGAAGGCACUCCUCAAGGAGGGAAGCGAACCCACGUGGAUCAGUCCUUCAGAGAGCUGAAGUCAGGCCCGGACGCUGAGGGCCGGGAGAUGCUGAGGGACCCGGCAGGGCCUCCCACCCACAGCGUGCAUGGCGAUCUGUCAACGUGGCGACUCCCUACAGUAGCCCUGUUGGAAACAACAGAAUAGGCCGCCUAAGCGACUGGUGCCAGCCUCCCCCAGCGAAGGGAAGAUGGGGACUUCCAAAAACAGGGCAUCCUGAGUCACCCCUCCGAUAUCGCUGCAUUUCCAAGCAUCCGAAGGCUGCCUUUGAACCUUUGAGGGGAGCACAGGCAGAGCAGGAGGUGCAGGGGGACCCCAGGGGCCACCCGACCUGUGAUGAAGGCGUGGGAAGCGCCUGUCGGAGGAGGCUCGGGGACCUGCUCAUCUCAGGGUCGCCCAUCUGCUGCCAUCACCGCAGAACCCAGAGUGUGGCGCCGGGUCUCCACCUCCAUCCUCAUCCUCCAACUCUUCGUCACUCAGCCCCACGCAGAAUGACCGGGCCACUCCUGCUCUCCGUAGCCU
rnacentral:lncRNA from 1 species